rnacentral:rRNA from 1 species
GACGUAGGGCGCGAGCGUUGUCCGGAUUUAUUGGGCGUAAAGAGCUCGUAGGCGGUCUGUCGCGUCGGAUGUGAAAAUCCAGGGCUCAACCCUGGACCUGCAUUCGAUACGGGCAGACUAGAGUUCGGCAGGGGAGACUGGAAUUCCUGGUGUAGCGGUGAAAUGCGCAGAUAUCAGGAGGAACACCGGUGGCGAAGGCGGGUCUCUGGGCAGUAACUGACGCUGAGGAGCGAAAGCGUGGGGAGCGAACAGG